CAGUGGUGGACUUUUGGUAUAGGAACCAAAGUGGCAUGUUAGCAGUCACUUUUGGUGGAGGCACCAGACUGGACAUCGGACGUGAUGUCCGUCCCACCCUGACAGUCCUUCCCCCCUCCAGUGUGGAGCUGCAGCAGGGAAAGGCCACUCUCAUGUGUCUGGCUAACAAGGGCUUCCCCUCAGGCUGGAGUCUGAAGUGGAAGGUAGAUGGAGUCAGCACCACCCGGGAGGUGACAGGGAGCCCCGGGGUCCUGGACAAGAAUGGCCUCUACAGCUGGAGCAGCACGCUGACCCUCCCUGUGGACCAGUGGAGGAAGGUGGGCUCUGUGACCUGUGAGGCCAACCAGGGCUCCCAGGCUCCUCUCUCUGAGACACUGAGGAGAGACCAGUGUUCUGAAUGAGCUCCUCCUCUGAAUCCUUCAUCCAGCUGCAUGGAGCUUUUAGCAUUUAUUUAUCAUGGCCUUUUCAUAUCAUGUUUUAAUGUAUUUGCUUCUUGGCUGUGGUAACAAUACAUUGAUAAAGGUUUUUGCAAUCAUAACUUUGGAUAUCAAUGUUGAAUAAAAAUAGAAAUAAGACUUCUUUAUGAAAGGGGUGUUUCCUUGUUUAUUUCUGAUAGUAUGAACGGGCCCAAAAAUGAUUCAUACAAUGAACAAUUAUGUUCUGUAGUUCACUAAUGUCUUAAUAAAAACGUCUGAUGCAGAAA